rfam:Camelus ferus unplaced genomic scaffold scaffold1533, whole genome shotgun sequence.
GAGGGUAUACCUCAGGGGUAGAGUGUGUGCUUAGCAUGCAUGAGGUCCUGGGUUCAAUCCCCAGUACCUCUA